UUGCAAGAAGUCAGAUAAUGUCUUCUUAUACCUGAUUAACAUACUGUAUUAAUGAUUUAUUACCUCUCUAAACAGAAAAUUGAGGAAACAUCUCUCUAAUAAAAACACUGCUACCAGAACGGGAGGUGAAGGCCAGAACAACUCUGCAUACUCAGCAAGUCAGGAGCUGAAUUAUGCAGAUAUCAGUUUCCAGAACAAAGAUGGUGGGAGAGUCCAGCUGGGGUUACAGAAUAACACCUCAGAAUACGCUCAGGUCCAAGUGAACAACAAUCCUCCUGCAGUGUCCUCCCCUCCUUCCUAUGAUGCCCACCUGCAGCGAACAAAAAGCCCAGCUCCUUCGCCUGAUGCUAACCCUGCUCAAGUUUACUCUCAAGUUCGCAAGAACUGACCACACUGCGUAGGAUGGAUCAUCUGGUGAGGUUAUACUGGAGAAGCAGCUGACAUGUGGUGAGAGAAACCUGCACGUUCCUCUCAGUUCCUUUGUAGAGGACUAAUUUACGUCAAAGCACUUUAGCAGUGGUUAAUAAACAACCAGGUAUUGCCAUUGCUGAGGUCAGAUGGCACAAUGCUGGCCUAUUAGCUUGCAUUCACCACAUAUUAUAGCUUUCUGUUUGUACAGUGCAACAGUCUAUGCAAAGUGCAGAUAUCUGAGGGGAAAUAUUCUCUGUAUGUGAUUCAGUUGUUUUGCUUGGACAUAAUGUUUGACCCUGGUGAGGUGUCAGAUUUGACUCCACGUGUAUACUGUGUGAUUCCAGUUGAGGUUACAGCUCGUCAGUUAUGGAUUCAUUUUCAUAUUUAUUUUAGCAUUUUAUAAAAUGAAAAAUAUGAUUUAUUUAACAAUAUUUAAUUUACCUUUCUAUGGUAUUUGUCAGGACUGUCAUUAAUACACCUUGAGCUUGUCAGUACAAUGGUGAAGUAAUGACCUUGCAUUGGUGGAAAGAUUUAUUUAUGUUAUCAGUUGGUGCACCAGGAACAGCUGAAAGAUCAACAGAGAUAUACAUGUUUUUUUUAAUUUAAUUCCAUGAUAACAAAGUUAAACUUUAUUAUCACACAAAGAGAAGGUCUGCAGCCAAGAUAAUCCCAAACUCUACCAUGACUAAAAAAACUAACCAAUACCAAGAUAUUUGUCUCCAGCUCCACUUUAAACAUAAACAAUAGUUGAUAGCCUACAAAAAAAGAG
rnacentral:lncRNA from 1 species